rnacentral:rRNA from 1 species
GACGAACGCUGGCGGCGUGCCUAAUACAUGCAAGUCGAGCGAGCGGAACUAACAGAUUUACUUCGGUAAUGACGUUAGGAAAGCGAGCGGCGGAUGGGUGAGUAACACGUGGGGAACCUGCCCCAUAGUCUGGGAUACCACUUGGAAACAGGUGCUAAUACCGGAUAAGAAAGCAGAUCGCAUGAUCAGCUUUUAAAAGGCGGCGUAAGCUGUCGCUAUGGGAUGGCCCCGCGGUGCAUUAGCUAGUUGGUAAGGUAAAGGCUUACCAAGGCGAUGAUGCAUAGCCGAGUUGAGAGACUGAUCGGCCACAUUGGGACUGAGACACGGCCCAAACUCCUACGGGAGGCAGCAGUAGGGAAUCUUCCACAAUGGACGCAAGUCUGAUGGAGCAACGCCGCGUGAGUGAAGAAGGUUUUCGGAUCGUAAAGCUCUGUUGUUGGUGAAGAAGGAUAGAGGUAGUAACUGGCCUUUAUUUGACGGUAAUCAACCAGAAAGUCACGGCUAACUACGUGCUAGCAGCCGCGGUAAUACGUAGGUGGCAAGCGUUGUCCGGAUUUAUUGGGCGUAAAGCGAGCGCAGGCGGAAGAAUAAGUCUGAUGUGAAAGCCCUCGGCUUAACCGAGGAACUGCAUCGGAAACUGUUUUUCUUGAGUGCAGAAGAGGAGAGUGGAACUCCAUGUGUAGCGGUGGAAUGCGUAGAUAUAUGGAAGAACACCAGUGGCGAAGGCGGCUCUCUGGUCUGCAACUGACGCUGAGGCUCGAAAGCAUGGGUAGCGAACAGGAUUAGAUACCCUGGUAGUCCAUGCCGUAAACGAUGAGUGCUAAGUGUUGGGAGGUUUCCGCCUCUCAGUGCUGCAGCUAACGCAUUAAGCACUCCGCCUGGGGAGUACGACCGCAAGGUUGAAACUCAAAGGAAUUGACGGGGGCCCGCACAAGCGGUGGAGCAUGUGGUUUAAUUCGAAGCAACGCGAAGAACCUUACCAGGUCUUGACAUCUAGUGCCAUUUGUAGAGAUACAAAGUUCCCUUCGGGGACGCUAAGACAGGUGGUGCAUGGCUGUCGUCAGCUCGUGUCGUGAGAUGUUGGGUUAAGUCCCGCAACGAGCGCAACCCUUGUUAUUAGUUGCCAGCAUUAAGUUGGGCACUCUAAUGAGACUGCCGGUGACAAACCGGAGGAAGGUGGGGAUGACGUCAAGUCAUCAUGCCCCUUAUGACCUGGGCUACACACGUGCUACAAUGGGCAGUACAACGAGAAGCGAGCCUGCGAAGGCAAGUGAAUCUCUGAAAGCUGUUCUCAGUUCGGACUGCAGUCUGCAACUCGACUGCACGAAGCUGGAAUCGCUAGUAAUCGCGGAUCAGCACGCCGCGGUGAAUACGUUCCCGGGCCU